rnacentral:rRNA from 1 species
AGUAACACGUGGACAACCUACCCUUGGGUCCGGGAUAAUCCUGGGAAACUGGGCAUAAUACCGGAUAGGCCACAGUGGCUGGAAUGCCCUGUGGCUUAAAGCUCCGGCGCCCAAGGAUGGGUCUGCGGCCUAUCAGGGUAGUAGUGGGUGCAAUGUACCUACUAGCCUACGACGGGUACGGGUUGUGAGAGCAAGAGCCCGGAGAUGGAUUCUGAGACACGAAUCCAGGCCCUACGGGGUGCAGCAGGCGCGAAAACUUUACAAUGCGGGCAACCGUGAUAAGGGGACCUCGAGUGCCAGCAUAUAAUGUUGGCUGUCCAGAUGCCUAAAAAGCAUCUGUUAGCAAGGGCCGGGCAAGACCGGUGCCAGCCGCCGCGGUAACACCGGCGGCCCGAGUGGUAACCGCUAUUAUUGGGUCUAAAGGGUCUGUAGCCGGCCAGAUAAGUCCCUUGGGAAAUCUGGCAGCUCAACUGUCAGGCUGCCAGGGGAUACUGUCUGGCUUGGGACCGGGAGAGGUGAGAGGUACCUCAGGGGUAGGGGUGAAAUCUUGUGAUCCUUGGGGGACCACCAGUGGCGAAGGCGUCUCACCAGAACGGGUCCGACGGUAAGGGACGAAAGCUAGGGGCACGAACCGGAUUAGAUACCCGGGUAGUCC